AUUGAACGCUGGCGGCAGGCUUAACACAUGCAAGUCGAACGAGUGGCGGACGGGUGAGUAAUGCUUGGGAAUCUGGCUUAUGGAGGGGGAUAACUACUGGAAACUGUAGCUAAUACCGCGUACCAUAGGAUGAGCCCAGAUGGGAUUAGGUAGUUGGUGGGGUAAAGGCUCACCAAGCCGACGAUCGCUAGCUGGUCUGAGAGGAUGGCCAGCCACACUGGGACUGAGACACGGCCCAGACUCCUACGGGAGGCAGCAGUGGGGAAUAUUGCGCAAUGGGGGCAACCUGACGCAGCCAUGCCGCGUGAAUGAAGAAGGCCUUCGGGUUGUAAAGUUCUUUCGGUAGGGAGGCGUUAACUACAGAAGAAGCACCGGCUAACUCCGUGCCAGCAGCCGCGGUAAUUC
rnacentral:rRNA from 1 species